GUGACCUACGGGGCGCAGCAGUGAGGAAUAUUGGUCAAUGGCCGGAAGGCUGAACCAGCCAAGCCGCGUGAAGGACGAAGGUGCCAAGCAUUGUAAACUUCUUUUGUCAAGGGACAAAAUCAGGCUCGAGAGCCUGACCGAGGGUACUUGAAGAAAAAGCAUCGGCUAACUCCGUGCCAGCAGCCGCGGUAAUACGGAGGAUGCGAGCGUUAUCCGGAUUUAUUGGGUUUAAAGGGUGCGUAGGCGGGCUGUUAAGUCAGCGGUCAAAUGUCGGGGCUCAACCCCGGCCUGCCGU
rnacentral:rRNA from 1 species